rnacentral:rRNA from 1 species
CCUACGUGGGGCUGCAGUGGGGAAUAUUGGACAAUGGGCGAAAGCCUGAUCCAGCCAUGCCGCGUGUGUGAAGAAGGCCUUCGGGUUGUAAAGCACUUUCAGUGGGGAAGAAAGCCUUGGGGCUAAUACCCUCGAGGAAGGACAUCACCCACAGAAGAAGCACCGGCUAACUCCGUGCCAGCAGCCGCGGUAAUACGGAGGGUGCGAGCGUUAAUCGGAAUUACUGGGCGUAAAGCGCGCGUAGGCGGUCUGAUAAGCCGGUUGUGAAAGCCCCGGGCUCAACCUGGGAACGGCAUCCGGAACUGUCAGGCUAGAGUGCAGGAGAGGAAGGUAGAAGUCCCGGUGUAGCGGUGAAAUGCGUAGAGAUCGGGAGGAAUACCAGUGGCGAAGGCGGCCUUCUGGACUGACACUGACGCUGAGGUGCGAAAGCGUGGGUAGCAAACAGGAUUAGAUACCCCAGUAGUC